rnacentral:SRP_RNA from 14 species
GACCACCGGCCAGACCCGGACAGCUUGGCCCUGGCCGUGGCGCACUUGGAGGCCUCCGGUGUGGACUGUGUUCAGGGCUCGACCUACAUCAGGGCAGG